GGUUGUGAUUCAGCGGUAGAGUGCAUGCCUAGCACGUGUGAGACCCUGGGUUCAAUCCUCAGUACCA
rnacentral:tRNA from 1 species